rnacentral:rRNA from 1 species
AUUGAACGCUGGCGGCAGGCUUAACACAUGCAAGUCGAGCGGAGAGAGGUAGCUUGCUACUGAUCUUAGCGGCGGACGGGUGAGUAAUGCUUAGGAAUCUGCCUAUUAGUGGGGGACAACAUUUCGAAAGGAAUGCUAAUACCGCAUACGUCCUACGGGAGAAAGCAGGGGAUCUUCGGACCUUGCGCUAAUAGAUGAGCCUAGGUCGGAUUAGCUAGUUGGUGGGGUAAAGGCGUACCAAGGCGACGAUCUGUAGCGGGUCUGAGAGGAUGAUCCGCCACACUGGGACUGAGCCACGGCCCAGACUCCUACGGGAGGCAGCAGUGGGGAAUAUUGGACAAUGGGCGCAAGCCUGAUCCAGCCAUGCCGCGUGUGUGAAGAAUGCCUUAUGGUUGUAAAGCACUUUAAGCGAGGAGGAGGCUACUUUAGUUAAUACCUAGAGAUAGUGGACGUUACUCGCAGAAUAAGCACCGGCUAACUCUGUGCCAGCCGCCGCCGUAACAC